rnacentral:rRNA from 1 species
UCCUCCCUCUUUCUUCGUGCUUAACACAUGCAAGUCGAACGGAAAGGCCCUGCUUUUGUGGGGUGCUCGAGUGGCGAACGGGUGAGUAACACGUGAGUAACCUGCCCUUGACUUUGGGAUAACUUCAGGAAACUGGGGCUAAUACCGGAUCGGAGCUCCUGCUGCAUGGUGGGGGUUGGAAAGUUUCGGCGGUUGGGGAUGGACUCGCGGCUUAUCAGCUUGUUGGUGGGGUAGUGGCUUACCAAGGCUUUGACGGGUCGCCGGCCUGAGAGGGUGAGCGGCCACAUUGGGACUGAGAUACGGCCGAGACUCCUACGGGAGGCAGCAGUGGGGAAUAUUGCACAAUGGGCGGAAGCCUGAUGCAGCAACGCCGCGUGCGGGAUGACGGCCUUCGGGUUGUAAACCGCUUUCGCCUGUGACGAAGCGUGAGUGACGGUAAUGGGUAAAGAAGCACCGGCUAACUACGUG